GUAAUAGCCCCUUGUCUAAAAGCACCUCCCUGAACCAGUAGUAGCAGAACCUGAAGGUGCAUCAGAAUAGAUGGAUCACAUUAUUUUCAGAUGCCAGAAGAGAACACCUAAUCCAUCUGAUUUGACCCAAAAUACUGAUUUAAUGAUAUUUAUGUCAAAGUAUAAGGGCAAACCUGUGUUCUGAAAGAAUGCCACCUUGUGGUUUCUCUGUUAAACAGAGAGAUACAACUGGACUACUUCUAAAGAAGGAAGAUGUGGGUUGGAGUGAGGAUGCCAACCAAGGAGAAGCAAGCCAUGGUCAAAGAAUGACACUGUUCAAACAUUUGCAUGUCAUAUGAUUUUAAAGGAAGAAGCACAUGUGGGUUAACUUUGGAAAAUAAAAACAAACCAAAUGCGUUGUA